UUUAUUAGAAGAGACGCAUUUAUUAGAUAAAAAGCCAGUUCAUGCUUUUACAGUAUGAAAAUUGGUGAUUUAUAAUAACUUAGCAAAUCGCAAAGUGAAAACAGGCGAUAAAUCAUUCAAGUUUCUGACCUAUCAGCUUUCGACGGUAUGGUAUUGGCUUACCGUGGCAGUGACGGUUAACGGGGGAUUAGGGUUCGAUUCCGGAGAGGGAGCCUGAGAAACGGCUACCACAUCUAAGGAAGGCAGCAGGCGCGCAAAUUACCCAAUUCUAACAGUUUGAGAGAGGUAGUAACAAGAAAUAACAAUACAAGGCAGUUAAAAUGCUUUGUAAUUGGAAUGAUAGAAAUUUAAACCCUUUUUAAAGUAUCAAUUGGAGGGCAAGUCUGGUGCCAGCAGCCGCGGUAAUUCCAGCUCCAAUAGCGUAUAUUAAAAUUGUUGCAGUUAAAAAGCUCGUAGUUGAAGUUCUGCUGAAAGUAACCGGUCUGCUUUUAAUAAAAGUGGUAUCUUGGUAUGUAUUUAGCAAUGAUGUCCUUUGAAGUGUUUUUUACUUUAUUGUAAUAAAGCAUAUUCAGGACUUUUACUUUGAGAAAAUUAGAGUGUUUCUAGCAGGCUGACGCUUUGAAU
rnacentral:rRNA from 1 species